GUGACGUUGGCAUGAUAUUGCAUUGCAUUAGCAUGCAUUGUAUAUAUAUGGUUGGAUGACCUGUUUUGUGAAUUUUAUGAUAUUGUUGUCAUUGUUGAAUUUUUUUUUGAUUGAUAUGAUCUCGUUUACUUUUACCCUAUGCUUUGCAUGGAUUCACGAGGUCGUAAGAGGUGUAUCUUAGACACUUUCUACUGAGCUUUAUGUUCACCCUAUUAUUUUAACAUUUUUUAGGUUUGAGAAAAGAAGGGGCGGGCAACGACCCACCGUAAAUUAAGACUGGACUAGAACUCUUAUUUUGUUAUCUUUUGUAUAGAAACAAUGAUCAUGUACCUUUUAUAAAAAUUCAGUGUAACUCGUAUAGUAUUAUAAUGGUAGAAAUUGUGUAAAUAAAAAUAUUUCAUGGAUUGUAACUUAAUUAAAGUGAUUCCUUGUUUGGAUGAGAUGGAGGAAUGGGACAUUUUAUAUGUAUAUGUUGAUUUUGGAGAUGUUGUAUAUUAUUGUAUUGUGCGUCGGGACAUGAUAUGUUAGUUUUAAGGCCGAGUGAGGCCAUUGCAUUAUUUUUUGUAUUUUAACAGGUUGUAGAAGGACUUUUUCUGCGGAGGUCAUGCCGAAAUUUUAUAUAUUUAUUAUUAUUAUUUUGGUAUCCUUUUGGGGCGUUACAGAAUGUUUCUGGAUUUUCUCAAGAUUCUGCAUGCAUAUGAUGUACUGCAUAUGGUCUUAAUCAGACUGCUUCUCUUAUUGCUUAUAACAUUUUGGAUUGUGUAUGUUGGCUUUCCUUUUUGGUUUUCUAAAUCUGUUUUACCAUAGCUCAGGAAAAAAAAAAAAAAAAAAAAAAAUUCAUAGUUCUCACACCAAGGGAAGCUGGGUAAUUAAACUCUCCAACAAAACGCUACUCGACUUUCGUCCCUCUACUGAACAUAAAAAGAAUAUGAAAUUUUGGCUUCCAGUCGUAUGGGGAACUAAUGGAAGUUUGGAGCCGUUUAGUAUCCAUGAAAUUACCAAAACACCACAUUAAUCAGGCAGAUCUCUAGCGGCUUGUACAAUUCUGGUUACAGAAACCUUUUCUGGGUUCCUGGGGGUCUUGAGGCUGCUGAAGAAGAGGAUCUCGAAAGGGAAGGUUAAGCUUCAGCGUCCACUUCUUCCUAGGGGGCCUCAGCCUUUUAAGUUUGCCAGGAUUGGUGGGGUUUCAGAGAUCCUUGGGUAACCAAAUCCUAUUUUUUCCUUUUAGAAAAUGAUGAUUAUUUUCUUUUGUAUUUUCUCACAAUGUGAAAAUCUUGCAUUUCCUUCUGUUAAUGUAGUCAUGUUCAACUCAUAUGCUUGCUUCAAAUGCACUCAAGAUCGUGUAUGCACUGUAUACAUACAAGGAAUUGGACCCUAGACAUUAAAAACUCUAACCUAGCAUUUAUUAUUAAGCCAAACUGUGUAGUGGUUUUAUCCCGAGUUUUCUAAAUGGCCGUGAAAGGCAAUGGCAAAUGAUCCAUAGAAUGUUUGGAGAAAGGAUGUGGAAUAACAUAACUAACAGACCGAGGGUGAAUUUUCUGUGACUCUUGUGAUCAUAGGACAUACCCCCUUACUAGUAGGUAUGUCAUAUCCUGAUAUGAUAUUUAUGAAUAUUAUUUUUUAUCCGUGACUUACAGUCUAAACUUUUAUCCUUUUCCAAACAUUGUUAACUUGCGCUAAGAACUUAUAUGCUUGGACCUUAAUCUUUCUAUGCUUCUAUAAGGGGCCAUGUCCUUGUCUUAUCUUUGUUGGAUUCCGAUAUUCUUUGGAUACUUGAGGAUAAGUGACUGUCAGAGAUAAUUUAGCAUAAAUGACAUAAUGAAAAUUAAAUUAAAUUUUAUCUAUGCACUAAUUGCCAUGACCUGGUUGUCAGUUGGACCGACCAACAAAGGUUGCAGCUGCCACAGAGGGUUGGGGUUACCAAUUAGUUUUCUCUGCUUGUCCGGUAAUAAUUCGUCCCAGCCAUUAAGGAAAAAAAUGACACUGUUUAAUCUUUAGUCUGGUUUCCCUCGAGAAUAAUCUCCAAUCUAAUUGUUUCUGUCACGAGUUGGAGUCUUUCUUGUAGUUGAUGCCAUGUUCGUUGGGGCUCAGCAAUUGGGCAGUUAUCUUGAAGAUUUAAGGUCUCACUGAAGGUCAAUGGUUAAACUAUGAACUCUGAAGGUAUUUGUGACCAAAAAGACAAUGAGAGACAGACAUUUCAGUUCCAGAUCUCCUUACUCAAACCAGAGACCAAAAAGGUUCCGAGCAUUAAGGACCCUUCUCUUUUUGUACUCUGACAGUCAAUGGAGUCAUAUGACUCAUAUUUUGAGCAUGAUUCUGCCAUGUGGUUAUGGAAGUUGUCAUGCUCUAAUUGUCUCAUGCAAUUUUGAUAAGCCUCUAGUGGUUUGCAAGAUGAUAUAUGAUUAAUCAUUUUCAGAAUUCUAGAUUUUGAAUGCCAAUAGCAUGUUCUUAUAAUCCACACGACUUGUUAACUUGUACAUAUUUAGUGAUUUGUAACGUUCUUCAGAACUUGUUUUCUCUGACACUGAUAACUCAUUUUCAGAUCAAGUCAUGAUGUCAUUAUGCAACUCAGCUCUCAUGCUGACUGAGCUAGUUUGGAGUACAUAAUUUUCUAUUAAUGUAUGUUUUAUUUAGCAUAUAUAUAUAAAGAUAAUAAUUAGCUGGUGUGUUGGUUCAAGUAGACAAUCAAUCCAGCCCACUUCAGCUCUCCAUGUGAACUUUCAGCCAUUGUAACUUGAAGGAAUGAAAGCUGUGGUAUACCACAUCAUUAUGUGUUUUACCCCUUUCAAAUUUUUACUUCUUUUGGUUUGCUAGCUUAUAUCUUCGAGUAGGAAAGAGUAAUGUAGCUAGGAUAAUCGGUCUCAUAAGAUGAAAGCUUGAACACUAACUGUACUGAAAAUGUCAUGUUACCAUUGGAUUUGGAGCAUUAGAAUUGUUGAUAAGCUCCAUGAUCCUCCAAGUAAAAAGGAAAAUGGUUAACAGUUAAAUCUUAUUUAACUAUGCAUCAUUUUACUGGUUCUCCUCUUUAUUUAUGCAAUGAAUAAUACUAAUUGGAUGAGUACUUUUUAAAUUUUGGAUGAACUGUUAAUCUAUGUAAUCUGGACUCUUCAGAAGUAUGCGAAGC